rnacentral:lncRNA from 1 species
UUCAAUUCUUUGUUUUAAUUGUUGAAGAGUAAGGGCAUGACAUUUCCAUUUUUCAACUCACCAGGGAUAUCACCUGAAUGCCAGGACUUUUCAACUAUGAUAGAGUGAGACUUGGCAUCUCCAUCAGCCAGUUCUCUCAGGACCCUGGGAUUCAUGUCAUCAGGUCCCACAGACUUGUACCUGUUUAGAUUCAUCAGGUGGUCUUGAACCUGCUCUUCACUUACAGUGGGUGGGACUUUGAUCCCCCAGCCUCCAUCUACGGGUUCAGGGAAAUGAAAGACUUGGGAAGCCCGUCGACCAGUGCAGACGGAGGCAAAGUAGUUGCUGAGUACCUCAGCCUUCUCCAUGUCUGUCGUUACCAAUUACUCAGAUACAGAAACUCACUCCUAACAUAAGAAAUUAGCCACCUGUAAUUGCUUACACACUACUAUUUUCACCCCUCAGUCUAUUUUCACAAAUGUUAAAGGUGCAUGGUGGCCCUCGGGGACUCCUCCUGUCACCCCAGCGCAGCAGCCUGAAGGGAGCUGGGUCCUCUCUUGUGCUCUUCCUUGAGGCUCUGUGCAGAAGGGAUGCCACCUCUGGCACGAGGGCUGGGGGAUGGGAAAGAAGCACUCACACAACCCCUGAGAAUCAGCAACAGAGUUCUUUAUUGCCGGGUGUUUGGUGGCUCCAAGCUAAUGCCUGGGAUGGAGCCUGAGCGACGAGUAGGGAGCUCGCCGGGCCCUGCUGCGAUGCUGUUGGUGCGCCCUGAUGGCAGGUAGCAAAGACAUGCCGGGGUAGUCCCAGGUCUGAUCUGGCCGAGGUGGAUCCACUUCCAUUGCUUCCUCCACAUAUUCUGUUGGAUUCAGCUCCAUGGGCUCCACGGUGUUUGGCACAAGGAUAAGCCAGUCCUUGCCUGGGACUGCCCAAACGGGAUGCCUCCCAUCUGGAAUGUUUUCGGGCCAGGGUGCUGCACCAGGGGCUCGUCCAGUUCCACCCCUAGGCCCCAUGCCACUGUCUGGUUGAUUUUCACGCAUGGGUUUGAUGCUGCCGUCUGUUUUACGGCCAUGGCUGGGUCUCACACUGUGUUCCGGAUUAUGGGCACGCUUCUGCUCCCCACGGCUCUCUGCCUGACGCUCCUGCCUUCGCUCCAUGCCACCAUUGUGCCACUGGUUAGGCCCAGGCCCCCUGUCGCUGUAUGGCUAAGGUGGCGGCCUGUUUCCCGCAUCGUUGUGGUGCCAGUGGUACCGCCUGUGUGUCUGUGGGCUUCGUGCCAGAGGUCCUUCGGGCACUGGUGUCAGUUGUGCUGCAGGCGCGAUCCCUCUGCCCACGACACUUCUCGUUAGGUGCACUCCUGCUCGGUGCUUCCUUGGACUGCAUUGC